GAUGAAGAACGUAGCGAAAUGCGAUACUUGGUGUGAAUUGCAGAAUCCCGUGAACCAUCGAGUCUUUGAACGCAAGUUGCGCCUCAAGCCAUUAGGUUGAGGGCACGUCUGCCUGGGCGUCACAUAUCGUUGCCUGAUGCCAGUUUCCUCGUGAUGGGUGACUGUGCAGGGCGAAUGAUGGCUUCCCGUGAGCAUUGUUGCCUCAUGGUUGGUUGAAAAUUGAGUCCUUGGUAGGGAGCGCCGUGAUAGAUGGUGGUUGAGUGACGAACGAGACCCAAUCAUGUGAGACCCCUACCGAAUUUGGCCUUCAUGACCCACAUGCGUCUUUGUAACGCUCAUGACGAGACCUCAGGUCAGGCGGGGCUACCCGCUGAGUUUAAGCAUAUCAAUAAGCGGAGGA
rnacentral:misc_RNA from 1 species